UCCGGCUAACUUCGUGCCAGCAGCCGCGGUAAUACGAAGGGACCUAGCGUAGUUCGGAAUUACUGGGCUUAAAGAGUUCGUAGGUGGUUGAAAAAGUUGGUGGUGAAUCCCAGAGCUUAACUCUGGAACUGCCAUCAAAACUUUUCAGCUAGAGUAUGAUAGAGGAAAGCAGAAUUUCUAGUGUAGAGGUGAAGUUCGUAGAUAUUAGAAAGAAUACCAAUUGCGAAGGCAGCUUUCUGGAUCAUUACUGACACUGAGGAACGAAAGCAUGGGUAGCGAAGAGGAUUAGAUACCCUCGUAGUCCAUGCCGUAAACGAUGUGUGUUAGACGUUGGAAAUUUAUUUUCAGUGUCGCAGCGAAAGCGAUAAACACACCGCCUGGGGAGUACGACCGCAAGGUUAAAACUCAAAUGAAUUGACGGGGACCCGCACAAGUAGUGGAGCAUGUGGUUUAAUUCGAAGAUACGCGCAGAACCUUACCAACACUUGACAUGUUCGUCGCGACUCUAAGAGAUUAGAGUUUUCGGUUCGGCCGGACGAAACACAGGUGCUGCAUGGCUGUCGUCAGCUCGUGUCGUGAGAUGUUGGGUUAAGUCCCGCAACGAGCGCAACCCUCACUUUUAGUUGCCAUCAUUAAGUUGGGCACUCUGAAAGAACUGCCAGUGAUAAGCUGGAGGAAGGUGGGGAUGACGUCAAGUCCUCAUGGCCCUUACGUGUUGGGCUACACACGUGCUACAAUGGUAUCUACAACAGGAAGCAAGACUGCGAAGUUAAGCAAAUCCCUAAAAGAUACCUCAGUUCGGAUUGCACUCUGCAACUCGAGUGCAUGAAGCUGGAAUUACUAGUAAUCGUGGAUCGGCGUGCCACGGUGAAUGCGUUCCCGGGUCUUGUACACACCGCCCGUCACACCAUGGGAGUUGGUUCUACCUUAAGGCAAGGUUUAAAACCCUUGACCACGGUAUAGUCAGCGACUGGGGUG
rnacentral:rRNA from 1 species